UCAAUUAUUCAGUAACAAUAUAAAUAAUAACAAUAAACAAUACAAACAGUAAAUGCGAUAUGUUUAUCUCUUUAACCUGUUUGUUGCUCUGUGAUUUGUUUGUACUUUUGUAUCGGUGGUCCAUAAUCUUAUACAUCUUUGUCUAUGGUCCAGUUUGAAAAAACCGGUAGUAGGUAAAACGUGCGUAAGUUUGGUAUAUAGGUUAUAUUUAAGGCUGACCUAAACAAAAAAUGAGUAAACACAAAAAGAAAUUGUGAGGAAAAGUCGAAGGUGAAACUUAAGACGAAUGCUAAAACGGAUUUUCUGCCUAAGGGAAAAGAUGUGACCAAUACAAGUUUUAAAGUGGAUGCGAUUCUACUGCCCGAGUUAUUAAAAACAAAUAAAUACAUUCCUUUGAAUAAAAAUAGUUUUAUUAUAAAAAUAAGACUUGGUUGUUCGAUUGAAACACUACAAUGACAACGUGUGAUACAGUUCAUAUGAGGAAAAAACUGACAUGCACAAGCAUUUAUGUGAUAAGAUUAUUCUAAAUCACUUAUGUAUUUUGGUAAAGAAUGUGAUAACAUUAGUUCAAGAUAGAUGGAAAAGUUCGGAGCUUCAGCUGUGGCAGUUAUCGACAAGCUUGUGGAACAUGAAGCAAAAAUGAAGAUGCAUCAACAAAUCACAGCCAGAUUCAAUAUUUCUUAGAAGCAAUUCAUACAGUCCUGUCUAUUGAGUGAACUAGAAAUCAAUAUAUUGGAGGAAAGUAUCUAAAAUAUUAACCAAUUUUCCAUAGCCAUUUAGAUUUAGUUACCCGUUUUGUUGUAACAUAUGUUUAAUUUUAAUGUCAAGCACAUUCUAAUUACAAAGUGUGUGUUAUAAGAGGCUACAUUAUCAAGUUGUGGAGAAAGAAAUUAUUUUUUUAUUAAAUUAAUUUCAAGACAUGAAGGAAGACUGAAAAUUUGUCAAAUUUUAGCGACAACUGUUGAUGUAUGUAAAUAGAUUUUAUAUAUUUCUACA